rnacentral:rRNA from 1 species
GACGAAGGAUCCAAGCGUUAUCCGGAUUCAUUGGGGUUAAAGGGUGCGUAGGCGGCCCGGUAAGUCAGUGGUGAAAUCUCCUUGCUUAACAAGGAAACUGCCAUUGAUACUGCUGGGCUUGAGUACAGAUGCUGUGGGCGGAAUAUGACAUGUAGUGGUGAAAUACAUAGAGAUGUCAUAGAACACCGAUUGCGAAGGCAGCUCACAAAACUGUAACUGACGCUGAGGCACGAAAGUGCGGGGAUCAAACAGG